rnacentral:rRNA from 1 species
GGGGGGGGGGGGGGGGGGGGGGGGCGGGGGCAGGGCGGGCGGGGCGGGGGGGGGUGGGGGCGCAGGGGUGGGUGACGCGGGUGAGCCUGCCCUUGGGUGCUGGAUGACUCCCGGGAUGGGGCGCUAAUCCCGGAGGAGGUCCUCGGACCCAAGAGUGAUGGGCUUCGGCUGGGGCGGCGUGGGGCUAGCUAGUUGGUCGGCGAAAAGCCGACCAUCGCGACGAUCCAUAGCUGGCCUGAGAGGGUGAUCAGCCACGCUGGGACUGAGACACUGCCCAGACUCGUACGGGAGGCAGAAGUGGGGAAUAUUGGACAAUGGGGGAGAGCGUGAUCCAGCAAUGCCGCGUGAGUGAUGAAGGCCUUAGGGUUGUAAAGCUCUGUUACCCGGGAUGAUAAUGACAGUACCGUGAGAAUAAGCUCCGGCUAACUCCGUG